rnacentral:rRNA from 1 species
UACAGAGGUGGCAAGCGUUGUUCGGAAUUACUGGGCGUAAAGGGCGCGUAGGCGGCCUUCUAAGUCAGACGUGAAAUCCCCCGGCUUAACCUGGGAACUGCGUCUGAUACUGGAGGGCUUGAGUGCGGGAGAGGGUGGUGGAAUUCCCGGUGUAGCAGUGAAAUGCGUAGAGAUCGGGAGGAACAUCUGUGGCGAAGGCGGCCACCUGGACCAGCACUGACACUGAGGCACGAAAGCGUGGGGAGCAAACAGG